GAUGAAGAACGCAGCGAAUUGCGAUAUGUAAUGUGAAUUGCAGAAUUCAGUGAAUCAUCGAAUCUUUGAACGCACCUUGCGCCCUUUGGUAUUCCGAAGGGCAUGCCUGUUUGAGUGUUAUUAAUAUCUCACUCUUGAAAUCUUUUAUUAGGUUACAAGAUGUGGACUUUGGAGGUUUUUGCAGGCUAUCACUGGUCAGCUCCUCUUAAAUGUAUUAGCGGAACUCUAUGCAGUACCGGCUUCAGUUUGAUAAUCCUAUCUAUGCUGUCGCUGUGAACUGUUCUGUUUGGCUUAUAAUUGUCUUCGGACUGCCAUUCAUUUGGUAUAACUUUUAAGCUUAACCUCAAAUCAGGUAGGAUUACCCGCUGAACUUAAGCAUAUCAAUAAGCGGAGGA
rnacentral:misc_RNA from 1 species